rfam:Morus notabilis contig23130, whole genome shotgun sequence.
UAUCCAUGGUGGGGACACAGAUUUUAACAGAUCUUUAAACGCUCCCAAGCUUGAUAGAGAGUUUCGUUUUCCUUCUGAGCGAAAUUCGAGAUCUGUCGUUUUAAAUU